rnacentral:rRNA from 1 species
UGGGGAAUUUUGGACAAUGGGGGAAACCCUGAACCAGCCAUCCCGCGUGUGCGAUGAAGGCCUUCGGGUAGUAAAGCACUUUUGGCAGGAAAGAAACGUCAUGGGUUAAUACCCCGUGAAACUGACGGUACCUGCAGAAUAAGCACCGGCUAACUACGUGCCAGCAGCCGCGGUAAUACGUAGGGUGCAAGCGUUAAUCGGAAUUACUGGGCGUAAAGCGUGCGCAGGCGGUUCGGAAAGAAAGAUGUGAAAUCCCAGAGCUCAACUUUGGAACUGCAUUUUUAACUACCGGGCUAGAGUGUGUCAGAGGGAGGUGGAAUUCCGCGUGUAGCAGUGAAAUGCGUAGAUAUGCGGAGGAACACCGACGGCGAAGGCAGCCUCCUGGGAUAACACUGACGCUCAUGCACGAAAGCGUGGGGAGCAAACAGG